AGACAGAAACAUCCCCUAGGAGAUUAGGGGGAGGGAAGGAAAGCUCUUCCCUGCUCUUUCCCUGUCUAGGAACAUCCUUUCCAGACCCCGAACCCAAAGUGACCCUACAGGGCUGCUGGAAAGAUCUGCUGGCAGCCAGCUCAGCAGCGGAUAGGUUAGGAUGGCUGGACAGUGAUCAGUGAUGUGACUUCAGCAAAAUGUGAACUUGGCUGCCUUUUCUUCAAAUCUGCAAAACAGAAACCAUGAAAUCUCUCCUUUUUCUCAAGAAAUGUUUAUAAAAUAAAUAUAGCAAGUUCAUAAUUUUCAUUAAACAUUUAAGUCCCUCAGAAAGAGUAGAUGAAUCCCAGGUUUCCACAGUGAGGACAAAGCUGAGAAAUAAGUUGGUCACUUGGGAUCUGUGA
rnacentral:lncRNA from 10 species